UACGUAGGUGGCAAGCGUUGUUCGGAAUUAUUGGGCGUAAAGAGCUCGUAGGCGGUUUGUCGCGUCUGCCGUGAAAAUCCGGGGCUCAACCCCGGACUUGCAGUGGGUACGGGCAGGCUAGAGUGUGGUAGGGGAGACUGGAAUUCCUGGUGUAGCGGUGAAAUGCGUAGAUAUCUGGAGGAAUACCGGUGGCGAAGGCGGCAUCCUGGACCGACAUUGACGCUGAUGAGCGAAAGCUAGGGGAGCAAACGGG
rnacentral:rRNA from 1 species